rnacentral:rRNA from 1 species
GACGAACGCUGGCGGCGUGCUUAACACAUGCAAGUCGAACGGAAAGGCCCUGCUUUUGUGGGGUGCUCGAGUGGCGAACGGGUGAGUAACACGUGAGUAACCUGCCCUUGACUUUGGGAUAACUUCAGGAAACUGGGGCUAAUACCGGAUAGGAGCUCCUGCUGCAUGGUGGGGGUUGGAAAGUUUCGGCGGUUGGGGAUGGACUCGCGGCUUAUCAGCUUGUUGGUGGGGUAGUGGCUUACCAAGGCUUUGACGGGUAGCCGGCCUGAGAGGGUGACCGGCCACAUUGGGACUGAGAUACGGCCCAGACUCCUACGGGAGGCAGAAGUGGGGAAUAUUGCACAAGGGGCGGAAGCCUGAUGCAGCAACGCCGCGUGCGGGAUGACGGCCUUCGGGUUGUAAACCGCUUUCGCCUGUGACGAAGCGUGAGUGACGGUAAUGGGUAAAGAAGCACCGGCUAACUACGUG